ACUUUCUUUUUUUCUUGUGGAAUAGCAUUUUUUAACACAGGUUUCUUAAUAGAUUUCGCAAAACCGAAGGAAAUCUUCUUUCCUUCUUCUGCCAUUUAUUUGUUAUUUUAACACUGACUUAUAGAUCAAUAGACAUGUAUAUACUAGACAUAAAGAUUGAUGUCACUUGAAACUAUGUACAUGAAUCUAAUAUCUUAUUAUACUUUAUUAAUCUACUCAAAAUUACUUGCACAUUACUAAAAUUUCAUUCCGACAAUAUAUCAAGCGCCUGAAUAAGUGACAUUAAAGUAAACAUAUAUCAGAGAGGAAAUAAGAAGAACUGACGCCUAUGGUCUUCUAUGUUACAGAGCUAGUGCUACACCAUACGGCCAAAUGCCGAAAAUGGCUAGGAUAUCCCAGAGAGAGUAGUGCUGCACCAUGCAGCCAAAUGCUAAUAGACGAAUAUGCGGCUGCUUCUGUUCCAAAUAUCUCCGUUACUGUGCCUGUUGACGGAAAUCGGCGCGGCUGGGAUCGGUAAAGCAUGUCAGAUCCUGCCAUACGCGACCGAUUCCUGGAAUCACCCAUCAUGGCCACGGCUCGACUCUUCCGCGUUCGAAGUUCGCAGCGUGACCGGAGUUGGUCAUCUCAAUCCCUUGUUUAAUUGUUGAUUUUUUUAAAUCUUUGUUUAUUAAUUCCAGGUUUUUUACAUAUUUUUUUUUUUUUU